rnacentral:rRNA from 1 species
AGAACGAACGCUGGCGGCAUGCCUAACACAUGCAAGUCGAACGAGACCUUCGGGUCUAGUGGCGCACGGGUGCGUAACGCGUGGGAAUCUACCCUUGGGUUCGGAAUAACAGUUGGAAACGACUGCUAAUACCGGAUGAUGACGUAAGUCCAAAGAUUUAUCGCCCAGGGAUGAGCCCGCGUAGGAUUAGCUAGUUGGUGAGGUAAAGGCUCACCAAGGCGACGAUCCUUAGCUGGUCUGAGAGGAUGAUCAGCCACACUGGGACUGAGACACGGCCCAGACUCCUACGGGAGGCAGCAGUGGGGAAUAUUGGACAAUGGGCGAAAGCCUGAUCCAGCAAUGCCGCGUGAGUGAUGAAGGCCUUAGGUUGUAAAGCUCUUUUACCCGGGAAGAUAAUGACUGUACCGGAGAAUAAGCUCCGGCUAACUCCGUGCCAGCAGCCGC